rnacentral:rRNA from 1 species
UACGGGGGGGGUAAGCGUUGUUCGGAAUUACUGGGCGUAAAGCGCGUGUAGGCGGUUUGAUAAGUCAGACGUGAAAUCCCUCAGCUUAACUGAGGAAUUGCAUCUGAUACUGUCAGACUUGAGUAUCGGGGGGGAUGGUGGAAUUCCUGGUGUAGAGGUGAAAUUCGUAGAUAUCAGGAGGAACACCUGUGGCGAAGGCGGCCAUCUGGAAGAUUACUGACGCUGAGACGCGAAAGCAUGGGGAGCAAACAGG